GACGAACCGUGCAAACGUUAUUCGGAAUCACUGGGCAUAAAGGGCGCGUAGGCGGCUUCCUAAGUCAGGGGUGAAAUCCGGCAGCUCAACUGUCGCAGUGCCUUUGAUACUGGGAAGCUCGAGGGAUGUAGGGGUCUGUGGAACUUCCGGUGGAGCGGUGAAAUGCGUUGAUAUCGGAAGGAACGCCGGUGGCGAAAGCGACGGACUGGACAUCUUCUGACGCUGAGGCGCGAAAGCCAGGGGAGCAAACGGGG
rnacentral:rRNA from 1 species